rnacentral:lncRNA from 1 species
CGUGGGUGGCAAGCACGGCUGGGCAGGGAGCGGGAGCAGGGUGCAGCCGGGCGCUCCCGGGAGAGCCUGGCUGCGGGAAGGCCGAGCACCGAAACGCGCCGGCGAAGCCGCGUGCUCGUGGCUGGACUUGGCCGCCCCUCCGCCAGCUGCUGACUCAUCUCUUUCGCGCUUCUCUGUGCAGAGAUUUAAUCUCUCCCCAAAGACAAAAUACUCUGUUAAUGGGAACCUGCCUGCUCGGAGCCACCCCUUCGCUCCGUUCCGAGGAGCCGGGGCCGUGCCGGAGGGAGCCGCAGCCGAGAGCCGCGCGUGGCACCGCUGCGGGCAGGACUGGAGCCGCCCUCGGGGCCGCGCCGUGCCCCGGCCGGUGAGGAACCCYGGUGCCGUCCUCUUGCUCCGAAGGGCUCAGGUGCCCCUGUGUCUUGUGUCGCGCACGAGGACAAGGAUGCGUGGGGGGACGCCAGCAGGACGAGCCGGGAAUGUCAGGCUCCUCUCGCGGUGCUGCGGUCCCGGUGGAUCCCACGGCGCUUCCGGAGCCGGCUUUACGGACUCCGCGUGCGGCAGGAGCGCUUCUUCCUCCUCCGCGGCACGGUGUCCUCUGAGGGAAGAGGCGGCAGCGGUGCAAAGCUGCCGCCGUCGGACCCGCGGGCUUGUGGUGGGAAGCGCGGGAGGAACGAGCAGGCGUCGCAGGAGUCUUGGUCGGAAGAUGCACGGCGAUUGCUCGCGCCRGAGUUUUGGCAAUUGGAGUUAGCCGACGCUAUGCAAGUUUCAAGGCAUUUCUCCAGCUUCCCCUUACUUCCCUUCGGACAUGGGGCACCCGUCUGUGGUGGCCUUGGUUGGCUUUACUUCCCAGCAUCCGAUGGCAGCUCUUCCGCUGCCCGGAAAAGCGGCUGUUGUGGGCGCGGGGGGCUCGGUGUGCCGCCCGGACCCGUGCCGUGGCCGCUGCGAACGGUGCAGGUGCGAACGCUCCCAUGGGCCCUGCAGCCGCCCCGUUUGCUCCAGCYGCCCUCGCCGCGGGGGCGUUUUGGUGCCCUUGCACCCUCCCAGCCGGGCUCGGCCCGCGGGAUGGGGACGGGGACAGGCUCAGCCCCUACCUGCGCCCGCCCUGCACCUGCCGGAGCUGCGGGAACGGAGCUUUUUAUCUUUCYUAGUUAAAAAAAAAAUCCUUCUCAUUUAAUUAAAAGUGUUGACAUUGUGCCUGGCCAUCCCGCCCGCCAGAGAACGUGGUUAUAAAUUAAACAUUAAACCUUUAAUGGCCCAUAAAGAAAUAUUCGCUGCUGCUUAUGUAUAUAGGGGAUAUAAAUAGAGAGGGCUGCUGGGGGAGGGGCAGGAUAUUAUUUUUCCUCAGCCAGAUAAUCUUUGCUAAUGAAUUUAAUUAAAAGCAAAAUUAAUUUAGGAUUUUUUGGUGGA